CGUGCGUAUAUGUCAAACAAUAAAUAUUAUAUAAAUGAUUUAUGACAUUUGAUUUAAUAAAUGAAUAAAAAUUACACAAAUAACUAAUAAUAUAGUGCAUAGAGAUGAACAAGUUUCUUUAAUGUGCCUUUAUAAACACCAAUGCAUGAUUGAAUUUUCGUUCUUCACCUUGGAAUCAUUCAGAUUUCAAGGAAAUAAAAUUAAUAGAAGAAUAAAGAAAAAAGCUGGAAAGAAAUAAAGGAGAAUAGACAAAUAUAUCAGAUAAGUAGCUAAUAUCUUUAUAGAAUAAAAAAUUGUGUAUCCUACGUGCUUUUAUAAUCAUAGAGGAACUAGCUAAUUCAUUUCUUGAAUUAAUUUUUUGUUUCAGCUUCCCAGUCAAUCAUUUGCUUGUAGAAUGUUGAUAGCCCCGGAGAACAAUCCCCUGCAGAGUGAAACUACCAAAUUCUAAGCCUACUACGUUCUCGAGUGUACCAAAAUUCAAGGAGAACGUGUUAUCCACAUUGGUCUUUGCAAGAAUGGGGAUUUGGAGUAGCAAUGGAAUGCUUGUCAAAGAUUAUUUCGCUGUUUCGUAUUGUUCGUGCCCAAAAUUGUGGAUGCCUCAUGAAGCUCCGAAUACGUUUCUGGUGCUUAGAAAGGUAAACUGUAAAUAAUAUUGCAUUUUAAAAAUAAUUAAUAUGGUAUGGAAAAAAUGUUAGCAAAAUGAGGCAUUUAAUAUACCUAAAAAUUCAACAAUUGUUGUGUGUUUUUUCAGGUUCAACCGAAGUUCUCGGUUGUGUCUCUCAGAUAUAUUGUUAGUUCUGUGUACUUCUUGAAAUACGCAGAAGGAAUUGGGCUUGAAAUACGCAGAAGGAAUUGGGCUUAAAAUUAUUCAGCCACGUUUCUUGAUAAUAAUGGAAAAAGGAUUCCAAAAACGUGCAAUUAUGGAAUAUAAUUGUAGAUAUUAAUUUAAAGCCUUCUUCUAUCAACGUAUGUGGCAAAUAAGCCAAAGAUAUGAACAGUUUUGUAGCACCCCACCCCACAUCAUCUUUUAGUAUGCCAUAUUUUUCAGCAUUAUGCACUAACGCUUGUAAUAAGAAAUAAACAUGAUUAAAAUUGACAUGCAUUUUAUGCUAAUUAAGUUAUUUUUCCUAAUUACCUGACUGUAAUGAAAUAAACAGCCCAUAAUUUUAGCGCUAGGAAAAACUGUUCGUAAAGCUUUCCUUUCAGCUUUCUCAAAAUCAGAUAUCACUGUAUCAGAUUUUAUUUUUAAAAUAUUUGUAACUUUUUUUAAUACAGCAAUAUAAUUUUUUGCGGUGCGACCUUCCAUUAUGGCGUAGACUAUUGGAAAUGUUUAAAAAAUUUCAAAGCAUUUAUAUUUAAUAAUAUAUUUACAUAGAAUAUAGAGUGCCCGUUGUGAUUAAAGGAACUAAUUAUUUCAAUAAUGAACUAAAUUGUUUUGCUUACUCUAAUAUUGUGUUUAAUGAUAAUUGUCCACAAUUGACAAUUAAUAUUUUUUAGUUGGGGAACAGUAGCGAAUGUUCCAUCUACAAAAACUGUUAAUUUAUCGUUUUGCUCAUUUAGAAUUUUAUCUGACAAACUUUUGUCAAUAAAAAUAAUUGCUUUCGUCGUAUUAUCUUCAACAACUAAUUCUACAAUAAAUAAAUCUUCUUCUGUUAUAAUCUUUUAAUUAACUAUUACUCUGAUGAUGAUUACUUACUGCUUACUUUGUAUUUGUGUUUGAUUUACUAAUUACUUCAAGUAUAAACUAAUGUUAAAAGUUAAAUAUCGCGGUUUAUUCAUUAUUCUUUACUCAUUUGUUUGUCGUUAUGGUUUUUUUCUGGUUAGUAUUUUUCCCGAUUGUCAUUUUGCAAUCGAACCAAGAUAUUGUGUGUUAACAUUCUACAAGCAAAUGAUUGACUGGGAAGCUGAAACAAAAAAUUAAUUCAAGAAAUGAAUUAGCUAGUUCCUCUAUGAUUACAAAAGCACGUAGGAUACACAAUUUUUUAUUCUAUAAAGAUAUUAGCUACUUAUCUGAUAUAUUUGUCUAUUCUCCUUUAUUUCUUUCCAGCUUUUUUCUUUAUUCUUCUAUUAAUUUUAUUUCUUUGAAAUCUGAAUGAUUCCAAGGCGAAGAACGAAAAUUUAAUCAUGCAUUGGUGUUUAUAAAUGCACAUUAAAGAAACUGGAAAUUAAUAUAAUAUAAUAUAAUAUAAUAUAAAUACAAUAUAAUGUAAUAUAAUACAUAUAAUAAUAUAUAAUACAUUAAUAUAUAUAUUAUAAAUAUAAUUUGUUCUCUCAUAUAUAAAUAUAUAAAACAUUUGUUCACCUUGUUCAUCUCUAUGCACUAUAUUUUUAGUUAUUUGUGUAAUUUUUAUUCAUUUAUUAAAUCAAAUGUCAUAAAUCAUUUAUAUAAUAUUUAUUGUUUAACAUAUACGCGCGCAUACGUCAAACCCGACUCUGCAAACCUUGGAUUUACUACUUUAACAGUGUUACUAACCUGCAGAAAUUGAAACGGUAUUGCCUAGAGAAUUUGGUUAGUACCAACAUUUUCUCAUCUAGUUUUCGGGAAAAUGUCGUGUAACCAAAAUAACUGAAUUUACCCCUCUAUGAGGGGUUCUAACUCAAAGGUUUUGUGUAGGUUUACUCUAUAGUAGUAAGGGUGACAGUGACUUAUGUAUAACAAGAACGGUAACGAGGGCAAUAAAAUCAAAAUAGUAGUAAGGUAGUAGCAAAUAUGAAUAAUUCUGGCAAACGAUAUGAUAAUCUUAUAAUAAAGAUUAUAAAAUAGUCAUGACAAUAAGCUGAUAAUUGAGUAAUAAUAAUAAAAAUAAUUGUAAUAAAUUAGCAAUUACAAAGGUCUUACAAGGGGA